rnacentral:lncRNA from 1 species
GUUGGUGUGACAGUCUGUAGCUUGUUAUUUAAAAAAAUUCUACAUGCUUUUUACAGUUACUAACAUUGUUGUAACCUUGAAUAUGGCUCUAUUUGACUUAAUUCUACUACAAGUAAGGUCCAACUAAAGAAUCUUUAUAUACAUAGAUACUUUUGCAACAAACACAAUAUCAGCAAGAUAAAUAAGAUCAACAACUACAAACGAUAGAUAUGUAAUAAUAUUACUACAUUAUCCUCCCCUUCAUUUAAUACGUCAUAGUGUCCAUUUUUUUGUAUUUAAUUAUAUUUUCCCAAAAAGGAGUGACGCCGUCGAUCACUAUUAGAUCUCCUGGGCUUUGUAUUAUUAUUCUCUAUGACAGUCAUCAAUGGUUCUUCCUCAUCUACUUCUUUUAAUGUACUCUCAUCUCUUCCAUCUACUACUUCUGAUCCUGGAGCUAAAUACUUUAGCGCCAAUGUUGUUUCUCCUCAAUUUUCGAAGCGGACAUGAGCAUACGUAGGAUUCACUUCUAUUAAGUCAAUCUCUUCAACUAAAGAAUCAUUCUUAUUGUUGUUUACGUGAUUUUUAAAGAGUACAGUUUCUGCUUAUACUACCCAUGUCGGUAUUGUCUGAUGAAGGCCCAUCUUCCUUCGAUAACGAAAAAUCCUUUUGUGCGGAGUCUGAUUAGUAGCAGUACAUACUCCCCAGUCUUGAGAGCUAAUGAUACAACCUUCCAAAAAAUGCCGUUAUAUCGUUCUACCUGUCCGUUCCAGUGAGGAUUGUAAGGCACAGUACGACUUGUAGCGACUCCUCUUACAGUUAGAUAAGUCUUCAAUUCUUUCGACAUAAAAGCAGAUCCGAGUGAAUAUAUUCCUGUAAAUCGAAAAUGGCACCAAAAUCCUAAAGACAUCUAAUCACUGGUUUAGGGGAUAGGUCUACACAUGGAUAGGCGAAAGGAAAUCUGGAAUAUUCAUCUACUGAGGUUUCCGUUCUCGGCAUUCCUUGCAAGUAGAGCUUCUUGACAUCUUCAAUGGAAAAUGGGAGAUUACAAUAUCUAACAUAGUGGAACAUUCG